rnacentral:rRNA from 1 species
AGUGAACGCUGGCGGUAGGCCUAACACAUGCAAGUCGAACGGCAGCACAGUAAGAGCUUGCUCUUCCGGGUGGCGAGUGGCGGACGUGUGAGGAAUACAUCGGAAUCUACUUUUUCGUGGGGGAUAACGUAGGGAAACUUACGCUAAUACCGCAUCCGACCUACGGUUGAAAGCAGGGGAUCUUCGGACCUUGCGCGAUUGAAUGAGCCGAUGUCGGAUUAGCUAGUUGGCGGGGUAAAGGCCCACCAAGGCGACGAUCCGUAGCUGGUCUGAGAGGAUGAUCAGCCACACUGGAACUGAGACACGGUCCAGAGUCCUACGGGAGGCAGCAGUGGGGAAUAUUGGACAAUGGGCGCAAGCCUGAUACAGCCAUACCGCGUGGGUGAAGAAGGCCUUCGGGUUGUAAAGCCCUUUUGUUGGGAAAGAAAAGCAGCAGGUUAAUACCCCGCUGUUCUGACGGUAACCAAAGAAUAAGCACCGGCUAACUUCGUG